rnacentral:tRNA from 2 species
AUUUAAGUAAUUUAAAAAAAAAAUAAUGAUUUGUGGAAUCAGAAAUAUGAUAUAAAAAUCAUCUUAAGUA